GAGAACAUCAUUCUCAGCAAACUGACACAAGAACAGAAAAUGAAAUACGGCAUAUUCUCACUCAUAGAAAAUAUCAUUGAACAGGAUUUUAACAAAACUCAGGCUGGGAAGAGUAACUGACUAAAAGGAUGUGCUUCCUUCUUUGCCUUUUGCCAUGAUUAUAAGUUUCCUGAGGCCCCCACAACCACACUUCCUGUACAGCCUGCAGAACUGUGAGUCAAUUAAACCUCUUUUCUUUAUAAAUUGCCUGGUUUGAGCUAGUUUCUUAUAGCAAUGUGAGACAGGUGUGGAAGCAGCUUUGGAACUGUUAAUGGGCAAGAGGUUGGAACAGUUUGGAGAGCUCAGAAGAAAGCAGGAGGAUGAGAGAAAGUUUUUAACUUUCUAGAGACUUGUUAAAUUGUUGUGACCAAAAUACUGAUAGUGAUAGGCUGAGGUGGUCUCAGAUGGAGAUAAGGAACUUAUUUGGAACUGGAGCAAAGGUCACUAUUAUGCAUCAACAAAGAGUUUGGAGGCAUUAUGUCUCUUUCCUGGAGAUCUGUGGAACUUUGAACUUGAGAGAGAUGAUUUGGGCUAUUUGGCAGAAGGAAUUUCUAAGCAACAAAGCAUUCAAGAUGUG